UAGGGAAUCUUCCACAAUGGACGAAAGUCUGAUGGAGCAACGCCGCGUGAGUGAAGAAGGGUUUCGGCUCGUAAAACUCUGUUGUUAAAGAAGAACAUAUCUGAGAGUAACUGUUUACCCAGUGACGGUAUUUAACCAGAAAGCCACGGCUAACUACGUGCCAG
rnacentral:rRNA from 1 species